UUGAAUGAUUUUGGUGAAAUGAUAGAUGAUAUUAUGUAUGAUCCUAUGCAUCAAGAACAGAUGCUUUCAAUGGAUAGAGGUGUUUUUGAGCGUGAAGUUGAUUUUUAUAUUGCACUGGAUGAAAUAAAGGAUGUAUGCAAGAAUGACAAGUUAAAUUGCCAUGUUAUAGUUGCAUAUAUGAGGUUAGAAAUUGCUUUUGAUAGCCGAUUUGUUACUCAUGUGAAAUGUUAUUUAUCAUAACUAUUUCUUUUGUGUAAUUUGUUUUAGAUAUUUGUACGAGACAUAUGAGCUCUCGAGAAAGGUAUGGUUUCUGCUAUCCUGGUGAUGUGAAUCAGUUUGAUGAUGC
rnacentral:lncRNA from 1 species